rnacentral:rRNA from 1 species
GGUUAAGCGACUAAGCGUACACGGUGGAUGCCCUGGCAGUCAGAGGCGAUGAAGGACGUGCUAAUCUGCGAUAAGCGUCGGUAAGGUGAUAUGAACCGUUAUAACCGGCGAUUUCCGAAUGGGGAAACCCAGUGUGUUUCGACACACUAUCAUUAACUGAAUCCAUAGGUUAAUGAGGCGAACCGGGGGAACUGAAACAUCUAAGUACCCCGAGGAAAAGAAAUCAACCGAGAUUCCCCCAGUAGCGGCGAGCGAACGGGGAGCAGCCCAGAGCCUGAAUCAGUGUGUGUGUUAGUGGAAGCGUCUGGAAAGGCGCGCGAUACAGGGUGACAGCCCCGUACACAAAAAUGCACAUGCUGUGAGCUCGAUGAGUAGGGCGGGACACGUGGUAUCCUGUCUGAAUAUGGGGGGACCAUCCUCCAAGGCUAAAUACUCCUGACUGACCGAUAGUGAACCAGUACCGUGAGGGAAAGGCGAAAAGAACCCCGGCGAGGGGAGUGAAAAAGAACCUGAAACCGUGUACGUACAAGCAGUGGGAGCACGCUUAGGCGUGUGACUGCGUACCUUUUGUAUAAUGGGUCAGCGACUUAUAUUCUGUAGCAAGGUUAACCGAAUAGGGGAGCCGAAGGGAAACCGAGUCUUAACUGGGCGUUAAGUUGCAGGGUAUAGACCCGAAACCCGGUGAUCUAGCCAUGGGCAGGUUGAAGGUUGGGUAACACUAACUGGAGGACCGAACCGACUAAUGUUGAAAAAUUAGCGGAUGACUUGUGGCUGGGGGUGAAAGGCCAAUCAAACCGGGAGAUAGCUGGUUCUCCCCGAAAGCUAUUUAGGUAGCGCCUCGUGAAUUCAUCUCCGGGGGUAGAGCACUGUUUCGGCAAGGGGGUCAUCCCGACUUACCAACCCGAUGCAAACUGCGAAUACCGGAGAAUGUUAUCACGGGAGACACACGGCGGGUGCUAACGUCCGUCGUGAAGAGGGAAACAACCCAGACCGCCAGCUAAGGUCCCAAAGUCAUGGUUAAGUGGGAAACGAUGUGGGAAGGCCCAGACAGCCAGGAUGUUGGCUUAGAAGCAGCCAUCAUUUAAAGAAAGCGUAAUAGCUCACUGGUCGAGUCGGCCUGCGCGGAAGAUGUAACGGGGCUAAACCAUGCACCGAAGCUGCGGCAGCGACGCUUAUGCGUUGUUGGGUAGGGGAGCGUUCUGUAAGCCUGUGAAGGUGUACUGUGAGGUAUGCUGGAGGUAUCAGAAGUGCGAAUGCUGACAUAAGUAACGAUAAAGCGGGUGAAAAGCCCGCUCGCCGGAAGACCAAGGGUUCCUGUCCAACGUUAAUCGGGGCAGGGUGAGUCGACCCCUAAGGCGAGGCCGAAAGGCGUAGUCGAUGGGAAACAGGUUAAUAUUCCUGUACUUGGUGUUACUGCGAAGGGGGGACGGAGAAGGCUAUGUUGGCCGGGCGACGGUUGUCCCGGUUUAAGCGUGUAGGCUGGUUUUCCAGGCAAAUCCGGAAAAUCAAGGCUGAGGCGUGAUGACGAGGCACUACGGUGCUGAAGCAACAAAUGCCCUGCUUCCAGGAAAAGCCUCUAAGCAUCAGGUAACAUCAAAUCGUACCCCAAACCGACACAGGUGGUCAGGUAGAGAAUACCAAGGCGCUUGAGAGAACUCGGGUGAAGGAACUAGGCAAAAUGGUGCCGUAACUUCGGGAGAAGGCACGCUGAUAUGUAGGUGAAGUCCCUUGCGGAUGGAGCUGAAAUCAGUCGAAGAUACCAGCUGGCUGCAACUGUUUAUUAAAAACACAGCACUGUGCAAACACGAAAGUGGACGUAUACGGUGUGACGCCUGCCCGGUGCCGGAAGGUUAAUUGAUGGGGUUAGCGCAAGCGAAGCUCUUGAUCGAAGCCCCGGUAAACGGCGGCCGUAACUAUAACGGUCCUAAGGUAGCGAAAUUCCUUGUCGGGUAAGUUCCGACCUGCACGAAUGGCGUAAUGAUGGCCAGGCUGUCUCCACCCGAGACUCAGUGAAAUUGAACUCGCUGUGAAGAUGCAGUGUACCCGCGGCAAGACGGAAAGACCCCGUGAACCUUUACUAUAGCUUGACACUGAACAUUGAGCCUUGAUGUGUAGGAUAGGUGGGAGGCUUUGAAGUGUGGACGCCAGUCUGCAUGGAGCCGACCUUGAAAUACCACCCUUUAAUGUUUGAUGUUCUAACGUUGACCCGUAAUCCGGGUUGCGGACAGUGUCUGGUGGGUAGUUUGACUGGGGCGGUCUCCUCCUAAAGAGUAACGGAGGAGCACGAAGGUUGGCUAAUCCUGGUCGGACAUCAGGAGGUUAGUGCAAUGGCAUAAGCCAGCUUGACUGCGAGCGUGACGGCGCGAGCAGGUGCGAAAGCAGGUCAUAGUGAUCCGGUGGUUCUGAAUGGAAGGGCCAUCGCUCAACGGAUAAAAGGUACUCCGGGGAUAACAGGCUGAUACCGCCCAAGAGUUCAUAUCGACGGCGGUGUUUGGCACCUCGAUGUCGGCUCAUCACAUCCUGGGGCUGAAGUAGGUCCCAAGGGUAUGGCUGUUCGCCAUUUAAAGUGGUACGCGAGCUGGGUUUAGAACGUCGUGAGACAGUUCGGUCCCUAUCUGCCGUGGGCGCUGGAGAACUGAGGGGGGCUGCUCCUAGUACGAGAGGACCGGAGUGGACGCAUCACUGGUGUUCGGGUUGUCAUGCCAAUGGCACUGCCCGGUAGCUAAAUGCGGAAGAGAUAAGUGCUGAAAGCAUCUAAGCACGAAACUUGCCCCGAGAUGAGUUCUCCCUGACUCCUUGAGAGUCCUGAAGGAACGUUGAAGACGACGACGUUGAUAGGCCGGGUGUGUAAGCGCAGCGAUGCGUUGAGCUAACCGGUACUAAUGAACCGUGAGGCUUAACCUU